UCCUUGGGUUCAAAGUUAAUUCGAAGAUCUCGGUGUUUAUCUCCUCACUUACGUAAUAAACUUGUUGUUUUUCACGGUGUUUGAUUCCAUUGUUUUAAAAAGUAUAAAUACUGGAGUGUUUGCUACAUCUUGGAGUUGCUGCAUUGAGCCGGCUUGCAUCAAGCCACCCUCAAACCCUCCAGACUGUAUCAGUCUACAUGGGCCGAACACGUUUUUGU
rnacentral:lncRNA from 1 species